GUCUCACUUUGUUUAUGCAUGCAUACGCGAAUCAGGCAGCGAACGCAGCGGAACCUUUUUCGGGUCGCUCCCUGGACGGGUUGGCCGCUGAGGCGGUUAUCCCUUCACGGGGUCGCAGCCUACUGCUACCGUUUUGGGUGGUGGGCAAGUGUUCUCGCGAUGAGUGCGUACCGAGCGCGCAAAUAAUUUGAAGAAGCAUUUUUUGCUGAGUGCACAAGGAUAGUCGCAGAUUAGUGCGUGAAGCGUGGAUGAAGUGCUGUAGUGUCCCGUGUCCACCAAUUGAACACCAUGUAGCAGGGAAGUGAAGACCGAUGUCUCGACGUCGACGUCGUUCGACGAUAACAACAUCAACAGUCUACGUCGCCGAGACGAUGACGGUCCGAAUGUGCAAAAUGUGAGAAGUGCGGUGUGUUUUCUGCAGGCCUUGCUCCUUGACCGUUUCUCCGGUUGGUUGUUGGUCAGCUGCGGAGGUUGUUGUUGAUUUCGGGCCUCUGUCCGAUUCGCAAGCAAGGAUGUGUAAAUCCAGGGGUUGGCGAUGGCGGCAGCGAGAAGGGGUUGUGCGUGUGAACACCAGCAAGCAGAAGCAGAAGAAGAAUAGGACAAGGAGAAACGUGACCCCUCUCCUGGUGGUGAAGGACUUCUGCUGUUUGGCAGUCAGUCAGUCAGCGAAGUCAAGAGCGAAAACGAAGAAAACCCGGAGUAAAGGUCGGGGUGGACAGAACGAAGAGUGCGAAGAGUGAAAGGAUUGACCAAAACAAACAUUCGGACGCACCCUUCAGCACAGGCCACCUGUCUGUCUGUCUGGUCAUGUCGUCGUAGUGUUGUUCGCAGUGGAUUCGGCAGGGAACACGCGUUCGGAUUUCAAGGGAUAUCAACCGCAGCAAUAACAACAUCGGUAGAUAGCCCCGCGUUUUUGGUCACCUGUUUUGCGAUGAUGAUGAUCCGUAUGAAACGCGAAGCGUUUGGCAAUAUUUAUGUUUACGCGCUACGACUACAAUAAAAACAUCGUCCAUCCCAUUUCCAUCCAGCAAUAAGGCUACAAAAGGGCAACAACGUUUCAGUGCUAAUGAAUCAUCUGGAUGCCGAGAAUUUUUCAGUAAAUUUGGGAACUGAUAUCCAGAGCUAAUUCAAGAUUACCAUGACGAGAGGAUUAGGUUCUUCUCUGAAAACUUCAAAGAUACAUCAUUUUUCUGGUUUGCCGCAACUCACAACCAGGUAGCAAUCACUCUGCAGCAUACAUUCAAACUCCUUCGGUCAUCUACCAUGACAUCGCUCUUCAAGACACUUCGGCCAACGAUCACCACCACUAUGAACUGCAGCAGAAGUUGGAAACCCCUUCGACACCUGAAAAAGACACGGAUCAUAAAAUUGGACUUGAAAUCAAACAAUUUGUAAAAGAUGCAAAUACAUGCAAACAAAAUCAAGAAGCGAAGAAAAAGAAAUGCAAAAAACGAAUAUGACGAAGAUGAAGCAAAAGAAGACGAAGAAGAAAAAAAUGCAACAAUUAAGUUCCUACUCUAAAACAUAGAUAAAAAUAUACGUUAUAAACGAGAGUGUACUAAUGGUAACUGUAAUCUUAGGUCGCUAAAAUGAUUAACAAAGCAAAAAAAUGCGAAAAACAAAUGAAAAUAAACUUACACUACUGAAUGUGCAAUGGAGACUCCAAAGUUAUAAGGGGACUCCAACGGCAACGCAGGCUUGCAUCCGGGGCCUUCUCUGUCCAUGGUUGGGUAGUGAAACACUGUAAAGUUUAAGAGACUGAUUGGCGGCCUCGGAGGAUGGAAAAGUGGAUUUGAACCGUUGAGGGUACCAUUUUCUGCGAAUUCCCAGGCAAUGCAAAGCGUUUCAUCGCAGCGGCAUUCAACGGAGAAUCGCCGUCACAGUUUUGCGUUUGGAAAGAAGCAUUGGUUGAGAGUUUGCAGGAGUAGUUGGGCCCAAAACCGGGAAAAAGAAAUCCUGAAAUCCAAUGGGCGCAUCAGUUUUGCACCUCGCUUGCUCCCACCAGGGCCGAGAUCGGGCUUGCGAAUAAGAUGCGACAAUUUCGAGAGGUUACUUAUACUUGUAAAAUUAAAUGGUUUAGAGGUGAAAAUUGUAUAACUGGCAAAAGGACUAUUGUAUUUUGAAAGCAAGAGGGUUAAAACGAGGGAGAUUUUGUAAGGGCAAAGUGUAAUUUUUAUUUUUACGUACUGUUGAAAAGGGCCGAACGGGAUGAAAUUCAAAUUCGAAUCCGACGCUGGAAAUAGAUCCUAAAAUUUUGUGCAUAGAUGCCAAGUUGUAGAAAGCGGAAACCUAUGAUAUUAAAUAUGGAAAAAGAGUAACACCUAGUAUUAACUAAUAAUACUUAAUGUAGUUGGCUUAAAGCUUUAUUUUAAAUAAAAAUGUCAUAAAACCAAUAAAAAAUCAUAAAAAUACUGAAAAAUACAAAAAAAAGAGUGAAUAGAUGGAAGUUAACCAAUUUAGUUCAGCUUAGUGUACUUUUCCACGUGCAAUGUUUAUACGAAAGUAAUGAAAUUGCGAGGUAUCAACCUUAAAAAAUCCUUUGAUUCUGGUAAAACUCAAGUUCUUUCUCUGAAGUCGACAGGGAAAGGAUUUCAAGUUUUGCUGGCUCUUGAUAUUCAAACAGCAUUUAUAUAUUCAUAUAUUUGAGCAUAAGAAGGUGUAUGAUAAAAAUAAAAGUUCCUAAAAAGGUCACCCUAUCGAGCAGCUAGAUGCAACAGGGUGACCCGACUAUUAAUCUUAGUGUUUUAGAAUCGAUCAAGUAGAAUGGAAAUAAUAUGUAUGGCAUCAAUCAAACUCGUGUCUCGCAGAAAUUGUUCCUCCAGAAAGCGUAGCAGCGCGGUCUCGAAUUUGAAAUUUGUCUUGAGCACACGGUCCAAACUAAACUUCUGUAAGCUUAACAAUAAUAUUAUCAAAAAAUGACGCACUCUGGACUAAACAAUCAUCCCUUCAAAAUUGGCGAAAUUCCACUGUUGAGUUCGUUCCUUUUUGGAAUAUCUCGAAUAAAUAAAAAAAAAAUAAGAACAAUGUACUCGCGUGAGCAACAAUAAUAGAGUUUAGAGAAAUUCAGAAUCUAAGAAACUAAUUUGAGAGGGAACUUUGGGCAGAUUCUAAGUAAAUUUCGUUCCUACAAAACAAACAAAACAUUAUUGAGCGGGAAAAUGAGAGAAAAAACGAAAAGACUCGACAUAUCAUGAAUGUUUAAUUUUGUCCUCGCAAAAUUUUUUACACAUGAUUGCACCCCAGACGUGCGAAGAAACUGCAGUUUUAAAGUUACUCAUUAUAGCUACUCACUCGAGAAAAAGGUAAAACAAAAGAAAGAUCCAAACUACACAACUACUACUAAUAAUAUAGAAUAGAAGAAACAGCAAAAACUGGUAUAUUCAUAUAUAUCCUAACUCGAUGUUUCAGCUAGUGUCCACCAGUUGUCCCCUUCCCUUUCAGAAGAAAAGAGAUCAAAAGAGACAGUCAAACAUUCACAGUUGACAGCUCUCCUAAGAAUACGAUACGGUUUUGUUUCCUGAUAAUAGUUGUUCUCUUGCAAACACACACACCAACAUUCAGAAAUGAACAUAAACACAACUUUUGCAUUUAUAGAUUUACGAACAAAAUCCAAAAACUACUACAAAGUUCCUGAAUGGCUGCUGCUGGGAGUCGGCCAGCCUACUUUGUUUGACCCAUUUGUUUAUUUGUUUUUUUUUUACAUUAUUCAUUGUAUUGCGUUGGAAAUGUCAAAAUGCUUCAGAACGGUUGGUCGAGGUUAACGAAACAAAACGUAAAUAUGUCAUCGCGACCAAUAGUUUUGAAUUUUGACAGUUCCGACAUUUUAGUUGUAAACAUACACAUUCAAACAUGCACGUGUAGCUUGACUUCAUCAUGUCGAUCGUGUACGAUCGACAGUGUCGUAGGUGAUUUUGACCUUACACGUGCUCUUCUAAGCGUUUCCUACUCAAAAACUUAAGAAAACUACGUGAAAGUUCCUAAAUGAAAAUGUUUUCUGUUCAUCUUUCCCUUGAGCCCUUUAUUAAGUUUACAAUCUUUUUUUACUGUGCAAUCCUACUACAACGUUGAUCGACGAUAGUUAUCGAGCGUUUACACCGAAAAAAAAAGCAUGGCAUUGUAAUAAACGAGUAAAAACAACAGCUAAUCUACCAUUUAUCGUACUACAAGAUGAAAACUCGCGGUUUGUGCAAGGAGGCGUCUAGCAAAACAGAAAAAAAGAAUGCGCAUCAAUCUGUAUGGACCUUUAGCGCUAUCACAUUUGCUAGAGUUGAUUGGCAGUGAGCACACAACUACAGACAACAAGCACACCCACUCAUUCGUGCAACUUAUUAUGAUGAUUAUUAUUAUUAUUAUGGCAGUAAUCAUUAUCAUUGACAUAUAUGAUUAUGCAUCAGAACAAGAAGGCAGAACACAACACAAAACAAUUGUAAAAGAUAUAUUGUCAGAUGUAAAAGUAAAUGAAAAUAAAUAAUAAAACCUUA